GCGCCGGUGGUGUAAAGCGUAAAACACUCCCAUCCGAACAGCAGGCGAUGUGGGUUCGAGUCCCGCCUGGCGCU
rnacentral:tRNA from 1 species